rnacentral:lncRNA from 1 species
AGAAAUUCAAAACAAAUUAUAAAACUUGAUUUUCAAUCACCACCGUCGGAUCUAAUGUGGAACGAUAAAAUUUGUAAAAAUCUUAAUAAAAAAAUAACAUAAAAAACAAGCCAAGUAAACCUGAGUUAAUUGUUAAGCAAUAUUCUCGGGUCAUGAGAUUUUGAUAACCUAAUGAAAAACAAACUGAAACAAAUCAUGAAGC